rnacentral:misc_RNA from 1 species
AAAGAAGUUGAUCACCCAUAAAGUUUUGUCAUUCCCGCUGUGCAUGGUGAACAUGUUCCUACCCGACUGCCUUAUGUGAAGGUGACACGAUACUUUACGACAUACGACAGUAGGCUACACACAUACAUGUAACACAUAUCCUCCUAUGUACCUGGGGGGUACUGGACCUGUCCGAUGUUUAACUAUUUACAAGUCAUGUGAAGGCCCAAAGAAGAGAGAUGUCGUGAAAAACAGAGAAAUGAUGAUACCAUGUAUUUAGAAUAUAUGCUUCUUGCCGUUAUUCUAUUUGUGGCCAGUGCUCUUCAGUGUCAGUGGGGAAAGUUUGGUGACAACUGUGAACGAAACUGCUCCUGCCACUGCGCCCUCGUGAAAAACAGUACGGCAAAACAUUGCAGGAAAUCAACUGGAGAGUGCUCAGAGGGGUGUAUUCCUGGGUCGUAUGGUAUAGAUUGCACGAAAAACUGCAGUGAAAACUGUCUCAACAAGAUAUGUAAUCAACAUAACGGUCACUGCACCCAAGGCUGCAUAGAAAACUACAAAGGAGUUUUCUGUAACAUUUCCAAAGAUUUCAGUAAUCCAGACACCUGUACCAGGAAUUCAGCUCAACCUACCUCGGUCGUGAUCCUUGGAAGCUGUCUUGGUUUUUCAGUGCUGUUGAAUAUCAUUCUUUGUGUGCGAUGUUGUGUGGUGUCGUUUAGAAGAAGACUGAAAACAAGUAAAGGGAGACGGAACCCAAAUAAGGAGUCGGAAAAUCAGAAACACGAACAUUGUAUACCUUUACAAGAUGUCACCUCGACGUAACAUUUGCUGUAUCCUAACAGUUGCAGUUUACCUCGCUUCAAUUCUAGCAUCUCCGAAUUGCAAAAACUGUCUGUUUGGAAAGUGUGAUGAAGACGGAAAAUGUACUGACGGGUGUGAACCAGGCUAUGCUGAUAUAUACUGUCAGCAUCCAUGUCAGGAGACCUGUUCAAAUGGCAGGUGUUUUGUGGACAACCACACAGGAAAGACAAUGUGUACAGAGGGAUGUGUUGAUGGCUUCUGUUACCCUGCAUGUAGGAUACCUUGUCCUGAAGGCUGUCUACGUUGUAAGCGUAUGGUUUGUGAAAACUGUACACUUUGUGAGGGUCACUUGUAUGGAACAAGCUGCCAACACUCGUGUGUUGAUAAGUGUAACGGCUAUGCAUGUGGUAUACAGGGAAACUGCUCACAAGACAAAUGUAUGGAUGGUCGGUACGGCAAGUUAUGCAGUAAGUCAUGUAAACCGAGGUAUGAGUCAUGUCACCAAGAGAGUGGACAAUGUAUUAAAUGCCGGAAAGGGUUAUUCGGCGACGACUGUCAGCAUCACUGUUCACACGAAUGUCUAUCAAGGGAAGAAGAUGAAAUGUUCAGGUGCAGUUCGGGAUGCACGCUGUGCGAGUUACCAUCUCAUACUGAUUCUAAGAAAGAUCCGGCAUGUACAGACAAUGGCAUGGAGGCCAGAAUUAACUCUACCCUUGGACUAUGUAGCGCUGUGCUGUUGAUCGCUGUGACAAGUCUUUGCCUUAACAUCAUAAAGGCAGGGGCGUUGAAACGUGAACGAUGCAAUUGUGUAGAUGUAGAGUGAUAAAGAAUAUACCUGGCUAUC